rnacentral:rRNA from 1 species
ACUCCUGCGGGAGGCAGCAGUGAGGAAUAUUGGACAAUGGGUGGAAGCCUGAUCCAGCCAUCCCGCGUGCAGGAAGACGGCCCUAUGGGUUGUAAACUGCUUUUAUCUGGGGAUAAACCUACUUACGUGUAAGUAGCUGAAGGUACCAGAAGAAUAAGCACCGGCUAACUCCGUGCCAGCAGCCGCGGUAAUACGGAGGGUGCAAGCGUUAUCCGGAUUUAUUGGGUUUAAAGGGUCCGUAGGCGGACUGAUAAGUCAGUGGUGAAAUCCGACAGCUUAACUGUCGAACUGCCAUUGAUACUGUUAGUCUUGAGUAAGGUUGAAGUGGCUGGAAUAAGUAGUGUAGCGGUGAAAUGCAUAGAUAUUACUUAGAACACCAAUUGCGAAGGCAGGUCACUAAGUCUUAACUGACGCUGAUGGACGAAAGCGUGGGGAGCGAACAGGAUUAGAAACCCUAGUAGUCCCAUGAU